rnacentral:rRNA from 1 species
UACGUAGGUGGCAAGCGUUGUCCGGAUUUAUUGGGCGUAAAGCGAGCGCAGGCGGUUCCUUAAGUCUGAUGUGAAAGCCCACGGCUCAACCGUGGAAUGUCAUUGGAAACUGGGGAACUUGAGUGCAGAAGAGGAGAGUGGAAUUCCAUGUGUAGCGGUGAAAUGCGUAGAUAUUAGGAGGAACACCAGUUGCGAAGGCGGCUCUCUGGACUGUAACUGACACUGAGGCACGAAAGCGUGGGGAGCAAACAGGAUUA